AACCUUUCCAAAAAUUAAAGUUUAUCUUAUAAUGGUAGUUGCCGGGCAUGUCCCGGUUAUGACGCUAAACGCGGUUGCGGAAUAGGCGUUCGUGGACCCGGGGGCAGUACCCGGCAGCUCCACCAAUAUUUGGGAUCGUAUAGAACUGGUUUUGAAUUUCGGCGUGUCCGCAAAGAGCACAUCCAAGAUUUUUGAACUCGCUGCACUCGAUAACGAAUUUUGAUGGGGCUGAAACAGGAUCGACACACGUAGUAAAGGCAUCAUGCGGCGUUCGGCAAUCCGCCGUUACCGGAUGAUCGUUAUAAAUGCAAACGACAAUCAUGCAUUUGUAGCAGCCAACGACAACACCUUUGGUGAUGUUGCUGGUGAAACUAAAGCUGCUUAAUUGCCGCUUUGGUGCGCUACGCACUAAUCCCUAAGGCUUAAUGCGUCUUAGGUGGGGUCCGGGUCGAACCUCGCAACAGAAUCGGCCCAUU
rnacentral:tmRNA from 1 species